UUCCGGUUGAUCCUGCCGGACCCCACUGCUAUCGGGAUAGGACUAAGACAUGCUAGUCACUCCAGCCAUAAGAGGCGCACAGCUCAGUAACACGUGGCUAACCUGCCCUUGGGAUAGGGACAACCCCGGGAAACUGGGGCUAAUCCCCAAUAGGUGAAGUGCUCUGGAAUGAGCCUUCGCCCAAAGGACUUGCCGCCCGAGGAUGGGGCCGCGACCGAUCAGGUUGUUGGUGAGGUAAUGGCUCACCAAGCCUUUAACCGGUGCGGGCCGUGGGAGCGGGAGCCCGGAGAUGGGCACUGAGACAAGGGCCCAGGCCCUACGGGGCGCAGCAGUCGCGCAAACUUUGCAAUACACGAAAGUGUGACGGGGCUACCCCGAGUGCUGUCCGCUGAGGAUGGCUUUUCCCUGGUUUAAGGAGCCGGGGGAAUAAGGAGAGGGCAAGUUCUGGUGUCAGCCGCCGCGGUAAUACCAGCUCUCCGAGUGGUGGGGAUGUUUAUUGGGCCUAAAGCGUCCGUAGCUGGCCUUUCAAGUCUCUCGUUAAAUCCAGCGAUUCAAUCGUUGGACUGCGGGAGAUACUGUUUGGCUAGGGGGCGGGAGAAGCCGACGGUAUUUUCGGGGUAGGGGUAAAAUCCUAUAAUCCCGAGAAGACCACCAGUGGCGAAGGCGGUCGGCUAGCGCGCGCUCGACGGUGAGGGACGAAAGCUGGGGGAGCGAACCGGAUUAGAUACCCGGGUAGUCCCAGCUGUAAACGAUGCAGGCUAGGUGUUAGGGCGGCCACGUGCCGCUCUAGUGCCGCAGGGAAGUUGUUAAGCCUGCCGCUUGGGGAGUACGUCCGCAAGGAUGAAACUUAAAGGAAUUGGCGGGGGAGCACAGCAACGGGUGGAGCCUGCGGUUCAAUUGGAUUCAACGCCGGA
rnacentral:rRNA from 1 species